AUUGAACGCUGGCGGCAGGCUUAACACAUGCAAGUCGAGCGGAGAUGAGGUGCUUGCACCUUAUCUUAGCGGCGGACGGGUGAGUAAUGCUUAGGAAUCUGCCUAUUAGAGGGGGACAACAUUCCGAAAGGAAUGCUAAUACCGCAUACGUCCUACGGGAGAAAGCAGGGGAUCUUCGGACCUUGCGCUAAUAGAUGAGCCUAAGUCGGAUUAGCUGGUUGGUGGGGUAAAGGCCUACCAAGGCGACGAUCUGUAGCGGGUCUGAUAGGAUGAUCCGCCACACUGGGACUGAGACGCGGCCCAGACUCCUGCGGGAGGCAGCAGUGGGGAAUAUUGGACAAUGGGGGGAACCCUGAUCCAGCCAUGCCGCGUGUGUGAAGAAGGCCUUAUGGUUGUAAAGCACUGUAAGCGAGGAGGAGGCUACUGAGACUAAUACUCUUGGAUAGUGGACGUUACUCGCAGAAUAAGCACCGGCUAACUCUGUGCCAGCAGCCGCAGUAACAC
rnacentral:rRNA from 1 species